rnacentral:rRNA from 1 species
GAUGAACGCUGGCGGCGUGCCUAACACAUGCAAGUCGAACGGAGUCCAGCCUUUAAGACCUUCGGGUCAAAGAGGGGAAGACUGAGUGGCGGACGGGUGAGUAACACGUGGGCAACCUGGCUCAUAGAGGGGGAUAACAGAGAGAAAUUUCUGCUAAUACCGCAUAAGCACACACUGCCGCAUGGCAGAGGGUGAAAAGAGAAUCGCUAUGAGAUGGACCCGCGUCUGAUUAGCCAGUUGGCAGGGUAAGAGCCUACCAAAGCGACGAUCAGUAGCCGAUCUGAGAGGAUGAACGGCCACAUUGGGACUGAGACACGGCCCAAACUCCUACGGGAGGCAGCAGUGGGGGAUAUUGCACAAUGGGGGGAACCCUGAUGCAGCGACGCCGCGUGAGUGAAGAAGUAUUUCGGUAUGUAAAGCUCUAUCAGCAGGGAAGAUAAUGACAGUACCUGAAUAAGAAGCCCCGGCUAACUACGUGCCAGCCGCCGCCGUAAAAC